UUUACAACUCCAGAAUCAUAGUUGUUAUAGAAGAAACUAAAUGGAUCAUCAGUUCUAUCUCUGGCCUUCAGGCUGGGGGAAUAUUUUUUCCCAUUUAAUAUAUUAGGUCAUUAAGGCCCAGAGAGGUUAAAUGACAUGAAUGGAAAUAGGUACUGAAAUGGUUAGACAGAAAAAUUGGGGUCAUUCUAUAGAAAGAAGCCUUCAGUGCUAGGUUAAAGAACUUAACUUGUAGUAAACUCAGUCAAUGAUGGGGACUACCAGAAGCUUUCACUAGGAUGGUGACAUAAUGAGAGUUAUGUGGGGCAGUGUUUUCAUAUCCAUAUUCAUAUUAUGGAAUAUGAUCCAUUAGUGAGUUAUAAAGUCAAUUCCAUGGUCAUGAAUAAAAACAAUAUCAAAGCACAA